GGGGAUUUAGCUCAGUGGUAGAGCGCUUGCCUAGCAUGUGCAAGGCCCUGAGUUCGAUCCCCA
rnacentral:tRNA from 1 species